rnacentral:rRNA from 1 species
UACGUAGGGUGCGAGCGUUGUCCGGAAUUAUUGGGCGUAAAGGGCUCGUAGGCGGUUUGUCGCGUCGGGAGUGAAAACUCAGGGCUUAACCCUGAGCCUGCUUCCGAUACGGGCAGACUAGAGGUAUGCAGGAGGAGAAUGGAAUUCCUGGUGUAGCGGUGGAAAUGCGCAGAUAUCAGGAGGAACACCGGUGGCGAAGGCGGUUCUCUGGGCAUUACCUGACGCUGAGGAGCGAAAGUGUGGGGAGCGAACAGG